UGGGGAAUCUUGCGCAAUGGGCGAAAGCCUGACGCAGCCAUGCCGCGUGAAUGAUGAAGGUCUUAGGAUUGUAAAAUUCUUUCACCGGGGACGAUAAUGACGGUACCCGGAGAAGAAGCCCCGGCUAACUUCGUGCCAGCAGCCGCGGUAAUACGAAGGGGGCUAGCGUUGCUCGGAAUUACUGGGCGUAAAGGGAGCGUAGGCGGACAUUUAAGUCAGGGGUGAAAUCCCGGGGCUCAACCUCGGAAUUGCCUUUGAUACUGGGUGUCUUGAGUAUGAGAGAGGUGUGUGGAACUCCGAGUGUAGAGGUGAAAUUCGUAGAUAUUCGGAAGAACACCAGUGGCGAAGGCGACACACUGGCUCAUUACUGACGCUGAGGCUCGAAAGCGUGGGGAGCAAACA
rnacentral:rRNA from 4 species